GGUGAACGCUGGCGGCAGGCCUAACACAUGCAAGUCGAACGGAAGGAUAGUAAGAGCUUGCUCUUAAGGGUGGCGAGGGACGGACGGGUGAGGAAUACAUAGGAAACUAAUAUUACGUGGGGGAUAACGGAGGAAAAGUUAUGAUGAUAGAGAAUACGAAGAACGGGAGGAAGCAGGGGAGCAUGAGACCUUGGGUGAUAGAAAGAGACGAUGUCGGAUUGGCUAGUUGGGGGGGUAACGGAACACCAAGGCGACGAUCCGUAGCUGGUCUGAGAGGAUGAUCAGCCACACUGGAACUGAGACACGGUCCAGACUCCUACGGGAGGCAGCAGUGGGGAAUCUUGGACAAUGGGCGCAAGCCUGAUCCAGCCAUACCGCGUGAGUGAUGAAGGUCUUCGGGUUGUAAAGCCCUUUUGUUGGGAAAGAACAGCAGCGUGUUAAUACCCCGCUGUUCUGACGGUACCCAAAGAAUAAGCCCCGGCUAACUUCGUG
rnacentral:rRNA from 1 species